rnacentral:rRNA from 1 species
UACGUAGGUGGCAAGCGUUGUCCGGAAUUAUUGGGCGUAAAGCGCGCGCAGGCGGCCUCUUAAGUCUGAUGUGAAAGCCCCCGGCUCAACCGGGGAGGGCCAUUGGAAACUGGGAGGCUUGAGUAUAGGAGAGAAGAGUGGAAUUCCACGUGUAGCGGUGAAAUGCGUAGAGAUGUGGAGGAACACCAGUGGCGAAGGCGACUCUUUGGCCUAUAACUGACGCUGAGGCGACGAAGCG